rnacentral:rRNA from 1 species
GACAGAGGGUGCAACCGUUGUUCGGAAUUACUGGGCGUAAAGCGCGUGUAGGCUGCUUCGCAAGUCGGGUGUGAAAGCCCUGGGCUCAACCUAGGAAGUGCACUCGAAACUGCGAAGCUUGAGUCCUGGAGAGGAAGGCGGAAUUCUCGGUGUAGAGGUGAAAUUCGUAGAUAUCGAGAGGAACACCGGUGGCGAAGGCGGCCUUCUGGACAGUGACUGACGCUGAGACGCGAAAGCGUGGGGAGCAAACAGG